CUUCUGCCUUGGAGCUUGGCGCCUGCGCGUGGUGCCAGGGUCAGGGUGCAACGCCAGAGCAAGCGCUUCCUUAUAAUUGUGGCCGCCGGUCCUCCGCCGCCGUGGGCCUUUAAAACCACGAGCAACACGG